rnacentral:rRNA from 1 species
CAAGUCUAAGUAUAAACGAAUUUAUUCAGUAAGACUGCAGAAGGCUCAUUAUAUCAGUUAUUGUCUAGGCGAUGGGCAAUUACUACAUGGAUAACUGUAGUAAUUCUAGAGCUAAUACAUGCCAUAAAGCAUCUCUAUUGAGGUGUGGCCUUAUUAGAACUAAAGCCAGCCCGAUUUUUCGGAGCCUAGGUGAUUCAUAAUAAUGAAACCCAAUCGCACUUUUGUGUGAAGCAUCGCUAGAAUUUCUGCCCUAUCAGCUCUGGAUGGUAGUGUAGUGGACUACCAUGGCUUUUACGGGUGACGGGGAAUUAGGGUUCGAUUCCGGAGAGGGAGCCUGAGAAACGGCUACCACUUCUAUGGAAGGCAGCAGGCGUGCAAAUUACCCAAUCCCAAAAUGGGGAGGUAGUGACAAGAAAUAACAAUAGUGGACUCUUACGAGUUCGCUAAUUGGAAUGGGUUUGGUGCAAAAGUCCUUUCUAGGAACAAUUGGAGGGCAAGUCUGGUGCCAGCAGCCGCGGUAAUACCAGCUCCAAUAGUGUAUACUAAUGUUGCUGCAGUUAAAAAGCUCGUAGUCGAACUUCUGGCCCGUCAAACUCGCACAGUUGUUCAAAGAAUAACUUGUCGCGAACUGUUUGUGGGCCAUCUUUUUGGAGAGUGCUUCUGCCCUUGAUUGGGUUGGCUGUACAAUCCAGAGCAUUUACUGUGAGCAAAUGGGAGUGUUCAAAGCAAGCUUUUUUAAUGCCUGAACCGUUUAGCAUGGAAUAAUGAAAUAUAACUCUGAUUAUAUUUCGUUGGCUUAUAGAAUUAGAGUAAUGAUAGAAAGGGAUAGUUGGGGGUGCUCAUAUUCAGGGGGUAGCGGUGAAAUGCAUUGAUCCUCUGAAGAUGAACUAAUGCGAAAGCAUUCACCAAGGAUAUCUUCUUUGAUCAAGAACGAAAGUUGGGGGAUCGAAGACGAUCAGAUACCGUCGUAGUCUCAACCAUAAACGAUGCCAACUAGGGAUUGGCGAUUGUUGGUUUUCAUGACUCCGUCAGCACCUUUAGAGAAAUCAAAGUCCUUGGGUUCUGGGGGGAGUAUGGUCGCAAGGCUGAAACUUAAAGGAAUUGACGGAAGGGCACCACCAGGAGUGGAGCCUGCGGCUUAAUUUGACUCAACACGGGGAAACUUACCAGGUCCAGACAUAGUAAGGAUUGACAGAUUGAAGCUCUUUCUUGAUUCUAUGGGUAGUGGUGCAUGGCCGUUCUUAGUUGGUGGAGUGAUUUGUCUGGUUAAUUCCGAUAACGAGCGAGACCUC